rnacentral:rRNA from 1 species
UACGUAGGGGGCAAGCGUUGUCCGGAUUUAUUGGGCGUAAAGAGCUCGUAGGCGGUUCGGCAAGUCGAAUGUGAAAUCUCCACGCUCAACGUGGAGGGGUCAUUCGAUACUGCCGUGACUUGAGUACGGUAGGGGAGUGUGGAAUUCCCGGUGUAGCGGUGAAAUGCGCAGAGAUCGGGAGGAACACCCGUAGCGAAGGCGAGUCCCUGGACACUACCUGACACUGAGGCACGAAAGCUAGGGGAGCAAACAGG